GGUCCACUGGUUGGUUUUCCUGGCUGGGACAGCGAACGUCUCCGCUCCAACUUUCUGGAGCGGGGCCGGCCGCUUCGCGGCUCCCAUUGGUCCGGCGGCAGCUGUUGCUAGGCGGAUGGACCAAUGACGCGCGAGGGGCGUCUGGGCUCCUCCUCUUCUAGGUCGCGGCUGGAGCCCGGGACGCCGCGGCCUCCGCGCCUCUCCCUGCGGCUUUUUCUCUUCUUCUUCUUUUUUUUUUUUUAAGGCGGGGCGCGGCUGGGGGCGCGGCGCCCCGGAGCUCGGGCUGGUGGAAGGUUCAUGUGCUAGGCUCGACCUACCUGUCUGGCGCUCCCAUCGCCCUCCAGCGUUGCGCAGCCUGGAGGGACAGGGCGGGACGAGCUGGGGGUUGUUUUUUUUCCUGGUGCGAACGGGUAUUUUGUGUUUUAAUAACUUUACCAACUCGGUGAACUCUCGCGAGAGCACCCGCUGACUCUCUUGCCUCUGCCCUCCCUCCCAGUCUCUAACCGGCCUCUGGGCCACCUCAGACAGUUGAGACCCCAGCCGCUGAACACACACACACACACGCGCGGAGCCACCUCCAGUGCCUGAGCCCCCAGCCCUUACACACACGCGCGCUGAACCACUUCCAACACUUGAGCCCCCAGCCAUUAGACACACACACACACACGCGCGCGCGCGCGGAGCCACCUUCAGUGCCUGAGCCCCCAACCCUUACACACACCCAUACACACACGCAAACACACACGCGCGCUGAACCACUUCCAACGCUUGAGCCCCCAGCCGUUAGACACACACACACACACACACACACACACACGUUGCACCACCUGCAACACUUAAGCCCCCAGCCCCUACACUCAUACACACACACACGCGCUGGGCCACUUCCAACACCUGAGCCCCUUGCCCCUACACACACACACACACACACACACACAGACGCACACACAGACACCCACGCUGAUGCGGGAGCAUUUAGCAGUUUCCUUGCUGAAAAAGCAGGACCUCGCUUUAGAAAAUGGAAAUUGCCCAGGAGGAAAAGAGAACUGAGAUGUAUGCAGCCCCAGGUGCCUUCCUCUAAUUCAUCUUGUAUGGCUUCACCACUGUGGCUGUCAAGAUGGCAUGCAAAAUUAUUCCUCUUUCCAGGUUUUCCCCAAGGACCCUGGACGAUGCUGGUUUUUUCUAUGUGCGCCACCAAAGGACCCAUCCAGGUAAUUUUUCUCAGACAAGAAAAUAGGGUACUAUGUUUCCAAAGGGGUAGUUUUUAGCAGAAAACUGCUUGCAGAUCUGAAAUGAUAGAGCUUCCAGCUUUGACAAGACCUAGGCAAGGACUUGAAAGGCAGUUUUAGUCCUGACACAUAUACACCACUAUUGCUCAAGUCUGGUGGCUUCGACAAGUGGUUACCCUGCUCGGUAGUGACCUACUGUGGCCAUUGGCCCUGUCUUCACUUGAUUUACCCAUCCCAUGGUUCCCCACCUCCCCCUCAUAUGUACAUUGCAAGGCCUCUGCACGUGUGAUCUAACUUAGACCAGCAGCCUUCCCUGUGUUGGUCCAGAUAAACAUACCCCAGGAAAGUGCCCCAUCAACUUGCCUGUGUGAGAAGUCCAACUGCAAAUUAACCUCUCAAGCCUGGAACAUUCUCUCUUGUGACAUUUGAUAUGGCUUUCCUGCUUGAAUGCUUUGGGCUUUUUGAUGUUAUUGGU